rnacentral:lncRNA from 1 species
ACCAUAUAAACGUUUAAAGCUAUAUGAUCUCGAGAUGAAUCAUCUUCAACCUUGCUAUCUUCACUCUGAUCUUACCAGAUAUAUUUCUCACUACAAUCAUUUUCUUUAAAUUCUAUAAGCAAGCACACAACACUCAUUAACACACAACACUCUUUUAAGAAUUUAUUUCUCCUACAUGAACGCUUACUUAACCUGUCCAAGUUCAGUCUUCUCAACUUUCAGUCCAUCAAUCAAUCUCAGAAAGAAUCUUAUCUCAGUGGGAUUUUCCGUAAACCUCGUCAAAAAGUCAGUUCAUGUGUUCCAUGCUUAAGUGUAUUAUCAAGGAGCCUGUUCUAGCCACUCUCAUGUGAAAAAGACGGAGAGAGUCUAGGUGUGUUGGGCUGUUAAAGCUCAUGGGUAAACCUAUCGCAAGUGAGCCCAUAUGAAGCUGUGGAAAUAUGUUGCCCCGGGAAGAAUGAUCAUUUGUAAGAGUAAUUAUUGUUUAAUACCUGCUAUUUAAGUAAAAUAAUUUGCUAACCCCUUUGUUUUACAAAAUUAAUAUCGACUCCCUUUAUUUUCCUACUUGUUUGUAACUUGAUUAUUAUUUAUCUAGAAUGUAUUUUAUUUCUAAUUAAAAUUUGCAUUCUCACCUACUGCAUAAAAUAUUUAAAAUGCAUUUAAAAAGAGCAAUUUAGAAACUUGUAAAAAAAAAAAAUAUCAGCUUUAAUCAAGGGACUAACUCAUAAUAUCGUAAAAUUGACAGGGCUAAAUUAUAAUUACUCUUUGAGAAAUGAGAAUUAUGCAUUCUGAAAUCUUUGUUCGCCGUCUAAAAUUGACAAGCUCGAUACGUUCCAUUUUUCUUACAUUGAAUUUUUGUCAAAUCUCUUCUCGCUAGCAGCAGGAGUCCUUCGGCUACUUUCCUGCCAUAAGGUCAGCCUCAACACCUCUGACAUCAAGCUC